rnacentral:rRNA from 1 species
CACGUAGGGGACGAGCGUUGUCCGGAUUCAUUGGGCGUAAAGAGCGUGUAGGCGGUCCGGUAAGUCCGCUGUGAAAGUCGGGGGCUCAACCCUCGAAUGCCGGUGGAUACUGUCGGGCUAGAGUGCGGAAGAGGCGAGUGGAAUUCCUGGUGUAGCGGUGAAAUGCGCAGAUAUCAGGAGGAACACCUAUUGCGAAGGCAGCUCGCUGGGACGUAACUGACGCUGAGACGCGAAAGCGUGGGGAGCGAACAGG